GAGUGACUUUAUUGCGUCGGGUGUGUCAGUGUCACUUUGCUCACAUCUGAUUGGUCCAAUUUCAGUUUGAUCUCUGACCAGAACCAGAGCCAUAGAGAGAGAGAGUUGCGACAACUCCAUAGACUCCAGUGGAACGGUUUUUUACAGCAAUGGCGGCUCGUGGAGCCUCUCAAUAGUUCCCGGAAGUAGCAGCCGCGCCGUAGAGUUACAGCAGAACAGACCGUUUGUGAUGUACUUUUAAAAGCAUAAAGGGGAUUCAGAUCCUGAAGACUCCAUGCAAUGAUGCUGUCACCGCCAGUCUCUGCUCCUUGGAUUUUGCAAGCUUUUCCUUGCUCCUUAUUUUUAAUAAACCUUUAAUAAACAUAAAA